GAUGAACGCUGACAGAAUGCUUAACACAUGCAAGUCUAUGAGAAGAUCUACUUCGGUAGAAGGUUAUCAUGGCGGACGGGUGAGUAACGCGUAAAGAACUUGCCUCUUAGACUGGGAUAACAGAUGGAAACGUCUGAUAAGACUAGAUAUAAUAGCGACAUGGCAUCAUGUUGUUAUGAAAGGUAACACUAAGAGAGAGCUUUGCGUCCUAUUAGUUAGUUGGUGAGGUAAUGGCUCACCAAGACGAUGAUAGGUAGCCGGCCUGAGAGGGUGAACGGCCACAAGGGGACUGAGAUACGGCCCUUACUCUUACGGGAGGCAGCAGUGGGGAAUAUUGGACAAUGGAGGAAACUCUGAUCCAGCAAUUCUGUGUGCACGAUGAAGGUUUUCGGAUCGUAAAGUGCUUUCAGUAGGGAAGAAGAAAGUGACGGUACCUACAGAAGAAGCGACGGCUAAAUACGUGCCAGCAGCCGCGGUAAAACGUCUAC
rnacentral:rRNA from 1 species